AUCGCUUCUCAGCCUUUUGGCUAAAAUCAAGUGUAGUAUCUAUGAUUCUGUGAAAUGUUAGGGAUCUUGCUGUUUACAUUUUCUAUCUCUGUUACGUUGUUCCUUAGGCCAGAGUGAGCAAAGGGUAUUCUAAAAGUGUUUCAAGACUGGAAACAAAUAUCUUCAUUUUGUUGAGGGUUUUUUUGUGUGUUUGCAUGUGUAUAUACAUGCAUGUACAGCCAGG
rnacentral:snRNA from 1 species